rnacentral:rRNA from 1 species
AAGAAUAUCAGUUAAAAAAACUAUUAAAGUAAGUAAAAAAUAAAAGAUAAAAAAAGAUUUAAAGUUUUUAGAUCAGUCCGGCUUCCC